CUGGCUCAGGACGAACGCUGGCGGCGUGCUUAACACAUGCAAGUCGAGCGAUGAAACACCUUCGGGCGUGAAUUAGCGGCGAACGGGUGAGGAACACGUGAAGAAUCUGCCUUCAACUCUGGGAUAACUCCGGGAAACCGGGGCUAAUACCGGAUAUGAGCCUUGAUCGCAUGAUCGGGGCUGGAAAGUUUUUCGGUUGAAGAUGACUUCGCGGCCUAUCAGCUUGUUGGUGAGGUAAUGGCUCACCAAGGCGACGACGGGUAGCCGGCCUGAGAGGGCGACCGGCCACACUGGGACUGAGACACGGCCCAGACUCCUACGGGAGGCAGCAGUGGGGAAUAUUGGGCAAUGGAGGAAACUCUGACCCAGCGACGCCGCGUGAGGGAUGAAGGCCUUCGGGUUGUAAACCUCUUUCAGUAGGGAAGAAGCGAAAGUGACGGUACCUACAGAAGAAGCACCGGCUAACUAUGUGCCAGCAGCCGCGGUAAUACAUAGGGUGCAAGCGUUGUCCGGAAUUAUUGGGCGUAAAGAGCUCGUAGGUGGUUCGAUACGUCGGAUGUGAAAAUCAGGGGCUCAACCCCUGACCUGCAUCCGAUACGGUCGAGCUAGAGUUUGGUAGGGGAGACUGGAAUUCCUGGUGUAGCGGUGGAAUGCGCAGAUAUCAGGAGGAACACCGAUGGCGAAGGCAGGUCUCUGGGCCAAUACUGACACUGAGGAGCGAAAGCGUGGGGAGCGAACAGGAUUAGAUACCCUGGUAGUCCACGCCGUAAACGGUGGGCGCUAGUUGUGCGAACCUUCCACGGUUUGUGCGACGCAGCUAACGCAUUAAGCGCCCCGCCUGGGGAGUACGAUCGCAAGAAUAAAACUCAAAGGAAAUGACGGGGCCCGCANCAGCAGCGGAGCAUGCGGCUUAAUU
rnacentral:rRNA from 1 species